UACGUAGGGGGCAAGCGUUGUCCGGAUUUAUUGGGCGUAAAGAGCUUGUAGGCGGUUUGUCGCGUCUGCUGUGAAAUUUCGGGGCUCAACCCCCGAACUUGCAGUGGGUACGGGCAGACUAGAGUGUGGUAGGGGAGACUGGAAUUCCUGGUGUAGCGGUGAAAUGCGCAGAUAUCAGGAGGAACACCGAUGGCGAAGGCAGGUCUCUGGGCCAUAACUGACGCUGAGAAGCGAAAAGCAUGGGGAGCGAACAGG
rnacentral:rRNA from 1 species